CCUACGGGAGGCAGCAGUGAGGAAUAUUGGUCAAUGGGCGAGAGCCUGAACCAGCGAAGUCGCGUGAAGGAUGAAGGAUCUAUGGUUUGUAAACUUCGUUUAUAUGGGAAUAAAGUGAGGAACGUGUUCCUUUUUGUAUGUACCAUAUGAAUAAGCAUCGGCUAACUCCGUGCCAGCAGCCGCGGUAAUACGGAGGAUGCGAGCGUUAUCCGGAUGUAGUGGGUUUAAAGGGUGGGUAGGUGGUUCAUUAAGUCAGCGGUGAAAGUUUGUGGCCGAACCAUAAAAUUGCCGUUGAAACUGGUUGUCUUGAGUAUAUUUGAGGUAGGCGGAAUGCGUGGUGUAGCGGUGAAAUGCAUAGAGAUCACGCAGAACUCCGAUUGCGAAGGCAGCUUACUAAGCUAUAACUGACACUGAAGCACGAAAGCGUGGGGAUCAAACAGGAUUAGAUACCCUGGUAGUC
rnacentral:rRNA from 1 species